rfam:Cryptococcus amylolentus CBS 6039 supercont1.3, whole genome shotgun sequence.
GGCGGGAUGUGUGAGUGGUCUAAACAGCUGUCUUAAGGUUAACUCCUGAGCAACGGCAGUCCUCCGGGGCGUGGGUUCGAAUCCCACUUCCGUCA